GGCGGCCCCGGACGCUGCGGAGCAAACCCUCCAGGAGGAGGCUGCAUUCCAGGGCGAGGCGGUCCCUGCAUCCCAUGAGGUGGUGGAGGCCCCCUCAUCAUCCCACCAGGCGGAGGCCCCAUCGGUCUCUGCCCAUACGGAGGCGGAGGAGGACCACCAGGCGGUCCUCCCAUCCCAUGAGGCGGCGGUCCAGCAAACUGCGGCCUCAUACCGUAACUCGGCGGAGGACCUUGCGGAACGCCUCUCCCCAUCGGAGGAGGACCACCACCAAAAGCCGGAGGCGGCGGGAGCAUCUGCCCAGGAGGCCGCAUCACAGGAGGACGAGAGAUCUGAGGCUGCAUCAUCCCCGGAGACGGCCCACCAACUCCACGAACAGGCCCAGCAAGCCCAGGCUGAGCUUGAACAAGCGGCCCAGUAGGCACUCCACGUCCAGCAGCACGGCCCAUCCCAGGCCCAGCAAGAGCCACUGCAGAGCCAGCCUUGGCACGUGACUCUUCAGGAGGAGGCGGUCCUUCCACCGUCAUGGAGAUAACCUCUUCGCCUCUGAGAAGAACCAACCCUAGCGUACGCCGAUCU
rnacentral:lncRNA from 1 species